GACGAACGCUGGCGGCGUGCUUAACACAUGCAAGUCGAACGGUAAGACUCCAGCUUGCUGGGGUACACGAGUGGCGAACGGGUGAGUAACACGUGGGUGACCUGCCCUGCACUUCGGGAUAAGCCUGGGAAACUGGGUCUAAUACCGGAUAGGACCAUGGUGUGGAUACUGUGGUGGAAAGUUUUUUCGGUGUGGGAUGGGCCCGCGGCCUAUCAGCUUGUUGGUGGGGUAAUGGCCUACCAAGGCGGCGACGAGUAGCCGGCCUGAGAGGGUGGACGGCCACAUUGGGACUGAGACACGGCCCAGACUCCUACGGGAGGCAGCAGUGGGGAAUAUUGCACAAUGGGCGGAAGCCUGAUGCAGCGACGCCGCGUGGGGGAUGACGGCCUUCGGGUUGUAAACUCCUUUCACCAUCGACGAAGGGUUUCUGACGGUAGAUGGAGAAGAAGCACCGGCUAACUACGUG
rnacentral:rRNA from 1 species